GUUCACCUUGUAACCCAGACAACUGGGUAAUAUUCGGCCAUCUUGUUUUUAUAAUACUUGGAAUAGUUGAAUACUUCGAAAAUAAAGAAAGCAACGCUGCAUACUUUUUUAAAGCUUUGACGUACGUUUAAAUAGCAUCUCAAGAUAACUAUAUUUCCUCAAAAGCAGCUAAAAAAUGUAAGUAGUGUUCUAAGCUGACUACAUUUACAGUUUGUACUUUGUAUGACAAUUUUCUCCUCGUAUUUUAAUAGUGGUUUGUUUUAUAUAUCUCCAUGGCAUGCUAUUACCUCUAGCUACUGAAUUAAUAAUACGUGUGUAAAAUUAUCUGAGAUAAAGAGUUUUCGUUUAUUAACUAAUGAGGAGCAUUUCUUGAUUUAAACUAACUUCAUAUUACCAAUAAACAUGUAUUCAAUGUAUUAAGUACAUAUUUAUAUUUAAAAAUAUGUUAUCAAUACUGUCAUUCUGUCAAUACAACAUGGAAAUUACCCAGUGGGUAAUAAAUUGAGUAAAAUGAGAAUGUCCAAAUAUUGUAUUGCAAAAUAAUAACAUGUUUGGUUUGUCUAAAGCAUUUGCAAAUUGCAAUUCUUCAAUUUUACAGUACCACGAUCACCUGUAGGAAAGUUAACAGUCCCGACGGGAUGUACCGAUCACAGGAAACUUAACAGUCCUGCAUGCGGGACGGGAUCCCUCAUGAUGGAAAAUCUAUCCCUCUGGAUGGAAAAUCUACCCCUUGGGAUGGAAAAUCUAUCCCUCGGGAUGGAAAAUCUAUCCCUCAGGAUGGGAAAUCUAUCCCGCAGGACGAGUAAUUUCACAGGACGAGAAUCCCAUAGCGUGGGAUGGGAAACGUGUCGCUUGGGAGAUGAUAAUAUGUAGAAAUUUGUUUAUAUGUGUUCUUUGACUUUGUUGCCUGGAGUUAUAUUCAGAAAUGUUUUUUGUUUUGUUUUCAAGCGUACUCCAAAUGUGGGGUUAAAAUUGGUUAUAAAAUAAAAAUAUAAUUAAUAAUAUACUGAUUACUCAUUAUUGGCCAACGGUUUUUGGUGACCCGUGGCUGUGUUGAUAUACUGUACAUUUUCAUUUUGUUAUAAAAUAUAAGUGAACCCCCAACCAAGUAUUUAUUGUAAGAGAUUUGGAUUUUGGUUUUAUUAUUGGUGUAUUGAUGUUAUCCAAAGACUCAAAGACAAACUGGUGAAUAUCUGCCAUGCAAACGAAAAUAAUAUGUGGCAAAUUGCUAUUGGUGUAUUGUGUGUCGAUUCAUUCCAAAAAAUCACUCAAACGUCUUGUUCUGUUGCAAUACUGCGAACUAAUUAUUCAAGAGUCAGUCAAAUUCAUCUAUAGUCUAAUACCCUAUAUAUACAGUACCGGUAGUCUAUAAUUUAUAUACCGGUAUUAUCUAUAUUUUUCGCUAAGAUACAGUAUUGUCUAUGUUUUUCGACAAAUCACAAAAACUAAACUAAAAGAAAAUGUCCUAGACUAAACUAAAAGAAAAUGUAAUAUUUAUUUUUUUUAAAUGUAAAUUUCAUGUACAUUCAUUUGCUAUAAAAAAUACAUUGUCUCGAGUGGGAUUCGAACUUGUAUCUUUAGGUUUCUAGACUGCUGCUCAAACUCACUGAGCUUUUGAGCAGGCGUAGAUAAUAUAGUUCAAAAUUCAAAAAUAAGAAUUUCCUGUGUAAGUCAAAUAUAGAACGUACUGCAUAUGUAGGUUUCAGAGAACGCAUGGUGACGCACAUUGUCGUAAACUUCAAUCUCAGCACAAGACAAUCUCGACUUGAAAAACAAUUUUGGAAUUGUUACAAUGAGUAAAUUAUUUGACAGUUCAGUAUAAGAUAACAAAAAUUUCAUGCGAAAAUAUUUUGUUAACAUUUUCCAGCAGCUGCUAUUGACUGAACAGGGAUUGGUAGCAAGUCUUAAUAAUAAUAAUAAUAAUAAUUAUACAGAAAUUUCUAUAGCGCCGUUUCCAUAUAGCCCAAUGGCGCUUUACAAUUUAAAGUGAGAAGACGCAACAACUUAAAAAUAUAAUAUGAUAUAGCUAAAUAAUGUUAAAGAUAAAAAUUCCACAAAAAAAGUCUAUAGGCCUGGCCUAUAGGCCAACCUAUAAGCCCCUAUAGGAAACCUAUAGCUUUUAAAAGGAACAUUUUCUAUAGGUGACCUAUAGGGAUGCCUAUAAUCCUAUAGAGCUCUAUAGAUGCCUAAAGGCUUCUAUCUGAGGGAAUUGGAACAUUUCCUAUAGGCCACCUAUAGACUUUUUUCGUAAGGAGCAAGUGUUCUAAGUAUUCAAGUGUUCUAAAGAUCUACUAAUUUUGGGGUGACAUGGCUUGGAGGAUAUGCAAUGAGUGAGACUAGUUUUUCAUAGCUCUGCAGAUGAUUCUGAAUUGAAACGCUGUGCUUCAUCCAAGACAAUGGUUAUGUUGUUGCAAAAAUAAUCAAAAUAUUUUGUCCACUUAAUUUAACUUGGGAAAGACUUGUAUCAAUCCCCCUGAAACACAUUGCACAUUUUCCAAGACACACAUAGGUGUAUGGAAGGAAAAAUAUUGGGAGGGGGGGAGAGGGGUUGGAUAAAUGUUGAUGGAAAUUGAGUAGCCAAGGUUGGAAGAAAUCCCUGAAAUCCGGGCAGAAAUGGGGGGGGGGGGAGGUACGAUGUGUGAACAAUGAAUAAUGAUACCCAUUUUUUCCGUUUACUAAUAGAAGUUGUAGUCUCUAUCUAUCUAGAAUCUUAAACUCCAGUAAAUGCCUAUGGUGGUUAAAAGCACAUUUGGACUUGAAUUUACGCGCAUAGCAGCGGUCAUGAGUGACUUCAAAGUCAGAUAUGGUGGCCAAGUGGGCCUCAUUCUUUAAUUUCUUUUUAUUACAAUAUAACUAUCACUUCAAAAAUGAAGACAUUGUAUUAUUCUGCUGUUGUAUUUGUGUGUACAGUACAAUGUUUUACAUGAAUAUUUUUUCGAUAUAACAACAUUAGGCAACUUAAAAAUGGCUUUCUGUGGUUGUAUCUUUUCUUCAAACCUUGUCCUAAAAACAUGAAAUUAAAUCAGGCAUUAAAAUAAUCGGUCAGUCACAGACAUUGUCCACCCAUUCGUGAAUUUGUCCGACGGAGAGAGGAACCCACCGGACAUUCUGUCCGACCUAAGUGAAUCUACAUGAGGUUUAUUGUUUGUCCGAUCUGAGUUUAUUCAUUUGUUGUCCGACCGAACUAUACAGUAGCUUUGUUCAAUGUAAACCAAAAUGUAACAUAUUGUUUUAAAAUGGAAAAUUACAGCAUAGCCUAUCGAAGGGAAGAUGGCUGUGAAACUCGUUAGAAUAACAAUAUAACUCAUUAUCUAUGUUAGUCAACGUUUGUUCAUAAUCUGGUCCUUUCACCAUCACGUGUGUAUUGUAUUUUUACCAAAUCCACCAAUAGCAAUUUCCAGUUUCCCUGUUGUUCGAGUCACAGAUAGGUGACUUUCCUAAAACAUUCCACACAAAUACAACACACACGUGACGGUGAAGGACCAGAUUUAUGAAUAAACGUUGACCAACAUAGAUAAUAAGUUAUAUUGUUAUUCUAAUGAAUUUCACAGCCGUCUUCCCUUCGAUAGGCUAUAUGAUCAGAGUGAUGUACAAAAAGUUAACUGGAAAUGUUGUGUUAAUGUAAUAGAGCGCGGGGCAGCAUUUACCGUUCAGAAUUAAUAAUAUAUCGUGCUGAUAUUAAUUUGUGUCAUUCAGAUUUAUUUCUGAGCCAAACUGAACUGAAGGUCAUUGGAUAUCAUCAUACAUAAUUUACAUAUUAUGUCCGACCUAAACCCAAGGUCAUCGGACAUUUUGUUAUCAUGAUGAAAUAGUGUUCUGGGCGCAUGCGCCUGGACCCCUUAGUUUCUCACGUCUUUGGCGCUUGGCAGCUUGCAUUCAAAAUGGCCUAAAGAUUUGCAUUCAAAAUGCCAAAUGGCGCUUGCAUUCAAAAUGGCCCCCUAAAGAUUAGAUCAUGGCUAUGCCACUGCCCAACAAAUGGCCCAAUAAAAGAAAUUCCAUCGUGAUAAACCUAUAAUUUCUGUAGUUUGUUGAUGGCAAAAAAAUUGCGAGACAUUGCAGUAGUUACCCCUUCAAGUGGUGAUGUGCACACGCCCUGAUGCACUCCACAGUACUUUAUUAUUUUACCCUCAGCUGUCUAAUGCCAGACGAUUUUAUUUAUAAAGGGGAGAGUGCUGCCGCUCAAUGAGUUAAAGAUAUUUUUGCAACAUUAGAAAUUUCUACCUUUUUCGAUGAUUUUACUACCUGUAGCACUUCCCUUUCAUCAUUCGCGCAAUUUUUAAGAAGUAGAAUUGCCCGAUUUUUAAGGGCCUCCCCUCUAGGUCACAUCUGUGAAGACAAGUGUUAAGUUGAAGAUAUUUCAUGCACUUAAAUUGGAUAAGACUUGCUAUCAAUCCUCAUUCACUCAAUAUAGCUGAAUGGGUAGAGUGGCAGUCUAAACUUGAAGAUGUGAGUUUGAUUCCCGUGGGAGACAACACAUUUUUCGUUGUACUUGGCAGUUUUAAUUUUUUUCAGAGUGACAAGUACAAACAAAUACAUUAGUAACUCUGCAUGAAAGUACUAAUUUCAGAAUUAUAUAUAAUUAUAUUGUUUUAAUCUCAAACUAUGUCAACAUAGCCAUUUGACAUCUGGUCUGGAAACUCUGCAAACUUCAAAGCGUAGUCCUCUCAAUUGCCACCAAAAAUGUCUCUGAAAUGAAAUUACCGACUUUUUUCCAAUACAAUAUGGGACAAGUGGAUUUUUAUCCUUUCAUUCAAUACAUCAAUAUUUCAGGUUUCAAAUAAUCCAUUAGCUAUAUUAACCUUUUAAGUGGCAAUGUGCCCUAGUUUUGCCCUACUUAGUAUUUUACUGACUGUCUAAUGCCAGACAAUUGAACAUGUCAAAAGGAAAGUGGUGCUGCUCAAUAUGGUUAUGCAUCAUUCUCAUUUUGGGAAAAAUUCUGUCGAAUUAUAUUUUCUUAAAUUGUCGGCUGGCCAAGGUUACAUUAUCCAUUAUUUGUGUUAUCUGCAGGAGUAAUUUUGGAAAGAGACCUCCCUCUGGUGCACUGAAGCCUGGGACUAAAGGACGUUUGGCCCAAGGAAGCAGUAUCCUUUUCAUGUGAUAAUAUCUUUUAAAAUAACUUUUUUUUUUUUUUUUUGUAAAUCAGCAGCAGGCGGAAUCCCAUUCUCGUACCCAGAGCCCUUCUUACGCGCGGUGCGACGAGGGGCCAGAGCCAAAUCCAUAUUCCGAACUGGCAUCUGAUUGGCUAGUUCUAACAGCGGAUAUUGUUUUCUUACCAUGUUUUUAUGGUAUCCGGUUAUGGAUUUGGCCAGAGCCCCUCGUCGCACCGCGCGUGGACCGUUUCUGCAAUCUGAUUGGCUGCAGCAGCGGGCGGAGUUUUACGAUAUUUGACCACGGUCCGGAAUCCUAUACGUAAUGGCCGAAGCAAAGCAAAAAUUUUUUGUAUGUUUGUUUUAAAACUGAAAAAUAUGAAUAUGUAAUUUUGAAAUAAUUUUAAUGAUGGAUAAAAUAAUUGUACUGUAUUUUAAAGUAAAAUAAUUAAAUAUCAAUUUUUUAUUGUUUUGUUUUCUAUAUGCGCAAUCUAAUAAAACCGUUGCCUUCUUCGACAAAAAAAAUAAAUACGUUAUUUACCGUUUAGGUCGGUCCGGAUAGAAAAAUAUUUUGUCUCGGUCUCAAAAACGUCCUUCGGCCUUCGGCCUCGGGCCGUUUUUGAGACCUUGACAAAAUAUUUUUCUAUCCGGACCUCCCAGCCGGUAAAAAACAUAUAUGUCUUUUAAGAAACAGAGUGUUCAUUAAAAUGAAGUACAAAACUUAAAUUCUAAAAAUAAAAUUUCAAGGACAGCAUGCAGUGUACUGAAUAUCAAUAAGGGUUACUGUAGACCUGUUCCAUUGUGCAAAACUCCUUGUACGAUUUCGCUGUUGUGUUUUUCAACAUGAGUAAUGAAGGAUAUUGUAUUAUGUAUUCGUACUCUACAUUUCUUCAGAAAAUUUAACAUGAAUCAAAAAGAUAUACAUGACUUUACUGUAUAUUGUGAAAACAUUGUUCGAUUAGUUAAAGUCACAACAAUGAGUAGUGACUGGAAAUGGAGAUCAUGAAACAUUGCAAUAAGAUUCUAAUAUGAUUCUAAAUGUCAUUCUAAUAUAUUCUAAUAUGAUUCUGAAUGUCGUUCUAAUAUAUUCUAAUAUGAUUCUAAAUCUAAAAUUCUAAUAUGAUUCUAAAUCCAGAUGUUGAUUAUGAUUCUAAAUCCUAAUAUGAUUCUAAAUCCAGAUAGGGAAGCAUUUUCUGUUAGCAUCAUUAUCACUCAUUUUCCUUCACUUGAGUUUAAAUUUCAGGCAUGGGAAGACCGCCAGG